GAUGAACGCUGGCGGCGUGCCUAAUACAUGCAAGUCGAGCGAACAGACGAGUAGCUUGCUCCUCUGACGUUAGCGGCGGACGGGUGAGUAACACUUGGAUAACCUACCUAUAAGACUGUGAUAACUUCGGGAAACCGGAGCUAAUACCGGAUAAUAUAUUGAACCGCAUGGUUCAAUAGUGAAAUACGGUUUUGCUGUCACUUAUAGAUGGAUCCGCGCCGCAUUAGUUAGUUGGUAAGGUAACGGCUUACCAAGGCAACGAUGCGUAGCCGACCUGAGAGGGUGAUCGGACACACUGGAACUGAGACACGGUCCAGACUCCGACGGGAGGCAGCAGUAGGGAAUCUUCCGCAAUGGGCGAAAGCCUGACGGAGCAACGCCGCGUGAGUGAUGAAGGUCUUCGGAUCGUAAAACUCUGUUAUUAGGGAAGAAGAAAUGUGUAAGUAACUAUGCACGUCUUGACGGUACCUAAACAGAAAGCCACGGCUAACUACGUG
rnacentral:rRNA from 1 species